CAUAGACAUUUUCUCUCUGAUGUUGUUCGAACACUGAAAUUCUAGAGGGCAGUAAUGUGACCCUCCUUUGCCUCAUAACAGAAAGGCUUCGGGUUACAACCCCGUCCAGUUGUAGGCGAUAACGCACCACUCAGCUAGUUGAACUGCCACUAAAGAUAAAAUAACGAAUCCAAUAUGGCUGCGCCCAUGGUGUGGAUGUCAAGAUGUAACAAAGACUACAAGUGAUGAUGAAAAUUUAGUCGACUAGUGACUUAACGUAUCAGCCCCCCAUCUACGAGAUCUCGACACUGGAGAACCUGAAUCAUGGAGCCAGGCAUUAUCAAACACAGGCAAAGGAUGCAAAGUUUGUUGUGAAAGAUGCGAGCUGCAUGGUCUACUGUACUUUAUGUCCUUCAGAAUAGAAACGUGGAAUUGUCUAUCGAAAACAUUGAAAAAGGAGUUUACACUCAAUUAUCAUUAAAAAAUGCACGCUUCAACAGCAGCAGCUGAAGUGAUCCAGUUGGGUCGUAUUUCCUAUGCGCGUGCAUUACAGGUACAGCAACUCUAUGUUAGGAGACAUCUGGAUUCUAAAGACAAAUUGCACAAUGCUCUGCUACUGUGUGAACACCAGCCAGUCUACACCAUUAGAAUCAGACAUUCACUAUACCCAUUCGAAGAGUAGCAAAGACUGAAACUCCUUGGUGCUGAAUUCUUUCGUUGCAACCGUGGCAGGCUCAUAACUAUUCAUGGCCUAGGGGAGUUGGUGUGCUACCCAAUAAUCAACUUGGGCUGCUUCAAGAAAAGUGUGAAAUGGAAUCCAUUGUGGAAGAUACAUAACAUCUCAUGGAUUGGCACUGAACUGCAACACAGAUAUGGGCUGGUUUGAAAACAUUGUGCCAUGUGGGAUUGUUGGCAAAGGUGUCACCUCUCUCAGUCAAGAACUGGGAUGAGAAGUCUAUAUUGAAGAGACCAUCCCACGACUGCUGGAAACUUUCAAUGAUCAGUUUGACUGCUUCCUGGAUAAUAUUCUAAUAACAAUUAAACAAUGCACGGUAAAUAAAACAUGUAUAUUUUGACAAUCA